rnacentral:tRNA from 1 species
GUUUGUAGUUCAGUGGUAGAGCACUUGCCUCACAUGCAUGAGGCCCUGGGUUCGAUCCUCAACACCACA